rnacentral:tRNA from 1 species
CGGUUCGUAGUUUAAUAGGAAAAACAU